GGGAAGGCGAUUAUAUGUGGCCUACCAUGAAUUAUCUGCCGUUCGUCCAUGUUGUUGUUGAACGAGGUUGAAAAAAGGCAGACUAAAAGGGGAAGAACCUCGCUGGGAGCUGGACAGCUUCAAUGGCGAGCGAUUGAACUCGGUUUGCAGGUUCUACCCUCAGAUGGAAAAUACCAGAAUGGCUGCUGUGAAGUUUGACUGAAAAAGCUCAUGAUAUCAUUUGCUCAGAUGAGAUGUACAUGUAAACAGGGAACCAAGUGGAUCAGAAACUUGGAAAUCAGGAUUCACAUGUAGCAGUUAUCCAGAUCAGAUGCCAACAGGGAGAAAGUGGACUAAAUCUUCAAGCAAUUAUCUUUAGCAGGGCUGCAUGUUCUAUUUUGCAAUCCAACUCUUGGGUGAACCAGGUAAACAAAACUCUUGAAUAAGCCAAGUUCUGCUCUGAUUAUUUGACUUCAGACAUGCAGUUUGUAACUUGAUUAUUUACACAGUGAGUAAGAAAAGUUGUUAAAUCACACUAUUUUAAACCAAUCGUCCAUGAAAUUGUUAAAUUUAUCUUCUGCUGCCAAAAAUGAUGUUCAAAAGUAAGAUGUUUUUUUCAGAAUUAGAUUGCAUUUUCACCUUCAAAGAAAAUUUUUGAAUUGGCGAUUGUAUAACUUAGUGAGUAAUUAGGCUGCAGUACCAAUUGACUGGAUGAUUGACACUCUUAAAGUAGCUGUCGUCUAUCCCGUUUGUUUUAUACAUUGACAAUGAGAGAGAAUUCCAGAUAAAAGUGAGAGAAAUACAGUAUUCAAACUAUGUACAGUAACUCAAACAUAAAAAGACUGACUGAUGGACGGAUGGACUGACUGACUGACUGACUGACCGACCGACUGACCGACCAACCGAUCAACCAGCUGAACGACCAACUCACUGACUGUCUGACAAACUGACUAAUGGAUUAAGACAGACUGACUACUGACUGCUGACUGACUGGUGGACUGACAGACUGACUGACUGACUGACUGACUGACUAAUUGAUUGACUAACAUGUAUGUCUGACCACCUGAUUGGCUCAUAACUGACUGAUUGACUGAUGGACUCUUGACUAACUGACUCACUAAUUGACUCAGGACUGACUUCUUGACUGACUGACUU